UUCGGGAUGCCGGCGAGUGGCGAACGGGUGAGUAACACGUGGAGACCUGCCCUGGGGUGGGGGAUAACAGCUAGAAAUGGCUGCUAAUACCGCAUACGCCUUACGAGGGAAAGAUUUAUUGCCCCAGGAGGGUUCCGCGUCGGAUUAGCUUGUUGGUGGGGUAACGGCCUACCAAGGCGACGAUCCGUAGCUGGUCUUAGAGGAUGAUCAGCCACACUGGGACUGAGACACGGCCCAGACUCCUACGGGAGGCAGCAGUGGGGAAUAUUGCGCAAUGGGGGAAACCCUGACGCAGCGAUGCCGCGUGGGUGAAUAAGGCCUUAGGGUUGUAAAGCCCUUUCAGUGGGAACGAUGAUGACGGUACCCACAGAAGAAGCCCCGGCUAACUCCGUGCCAGCAGCCGCGGUAAUACGGAGGGGGCGAGCGUUGU
rnacentral:rRNA from 1 species